rnacentral:rRNA from 1 species
GAUGAACGCUGGCGGCGUGCCUAAUACAUGCAAGUCGAGCGAACAGACGAGGAGCUUACUCCUCUGACGUUAGCGGCGGACGGGCGAGUAACACGUGGAUAACCUACCUAUAAGACUGGGAUAACUUCGGGAAACCGGAGCUAAUACCGGAUAACAUGUUGAACCGCAUGGUUCAACAGUGAAAGACGGUCUUGCUGUCACUUAUAGAUGGAUCCGCGUCGCAUUAGCUAGUUGGUAAGGUAACGGCUUACCAAGGCAACGAUGCGUAGCCGACCUGAGAGGGUGAUCGGCCACACUGGAACUGAGACACGGUCCAGACUCCUACGGGAGGCAGCAGUAGGGAAUCUUCCGCAAUGGGCGAAAGCCUGACGGAGCAACGCCGCGUGAGUGAAGAAGGUCUUCGGAUCGUAAAACUCUGUUAUUAGGGAAGAACAAAUGUGUAAGUAACUAUGCACGUCUUGACGGUACCUAAUCAGAAAGCCACGGCUAACUACGUG